UCAUAAAGUGUUGUUUUUAGGGUACUAAAAGGAAACCCAGGUAUGAAUGAAAGACGUUUUGAAGAACGAUAAUUUGUAUGAAGAAAUAAAUCUGUGAAGUACAAGUCUCUUUUGGGAAACCAUCAAGAUAAAAACCAAAUGAAGUGAAACAUCUUAGUAAUUUGUGGAAAGAAAAUCAACCGAGAUUCUGUAAGUAGUGGCGAGCGAACACGGAAAAGAGUUUUAAAGAGUUAUUAUUAAAGAUUUGAAAUAAUUUGCCAGAGAAGGUUAAAGCCCCGUAAAUGAUUACUUUAUAAAUAUUUUUAGUAAAAAGGAACAAGUUUAUUCUUUUUGAAUACUGGGGUACCAUCGCCUCAAGCUCUAAAUAUAAAUUCAUAACCUAUAGUGACAGUACUGUAAAGGAAAGGUGAAAAGAACCCUUAAAUGGGAGUGAAAAGAUCUAAAUUUUAGUAUCUACUAUUAAUUGAUGUGUUGUUAUGACAAUACUACGGUUUGCCUUUUGUAUCAUGCACUAGUGAGUUUAUUAUUAUAGCAAGCUUAAGUUAUUUAAUGAAGGCUAAGUUAAAACAAGUUUUAAAAUGCAUUAUUAAGUUAUAAUAAUAAUACCCGAAACUAAGUGAUCUAUCCAUGAACAAGUUGAAAUUAUAGUAAUUUAUAUGGGAAGACUUCACUCGUAGCUGUUGCAAAAGCUUGAGAUGAUUUGUGGAUAGGGGUGAAAGGCCAAUCAAACUUAGUGAUAGCUGGUUUUUUGCGAAAAAUGUUCUGCAUUGCGUUAUUUUUAAUUAUAAAGGGUAAAGCUCUAUUCAGAUAAGGGGAGUGAAAGCUUUACUGAGUCUUGAUAAACUUUGAAUAUUUAUAUGUUACAAAUAGCAGUCAAACUUUGGGUGCUAAGAUCCAUAAGUUAAAAGGGAAACAGCCCAGAUUAUUGGUUAAGGUCCAAAAACAAUUACUAAGUGAAAAAGAAAGUGAAAAAACCAAGAUAACUAGAAGGUAUGCCUGGAAUCAGCAAUCCUUUUAAGAAUGCGUAAUAGCACACUAGUUAAAAACGUUAAGUUUAAGUUUUUUUGCGUCGAAAAUGUAAAGGGCUAAAGUAAUUUACCGAAACUAUAAACUUUUUUUAUAAAAGUGGUAGCAAAACGUCUUUUAUGUGGUCAUUUAAAUCGAAAGAUUUAAUUUAGAUAUGAAGAGUGAGAAUGCUAGUAUGAGUAACGAAAAAUUAUGUUAAAAACAUAAUCGCUGCAAUUUUAAGGUUUUCUACGUUAAGUAAUACUGCGUAAAGUAAAUCGGUCUCUAAGGUCAAAUGCGUUUGCAUUAGCUAAUGAGGUUCUUUGUAAGAAUUAAUAACGGCGACAGGUUUGUUUUAAUAUAGAAAUUAAUGGCUUUUUUUAUAAGAAAAGCAUCCCUCAGGAAAUAACCGUUUUUUAAAACCGUACUAAAACCAACAAAGGUGAUUUGAUUAAAAGAUUAAAGCGUUUGAGAUAACCGUCCUUAAGGAACUCGGCAAAAUAACUCUGUAACUUAGGAAAAAAGAGUACCUUUAUAAAAGGUAGCAUAAAAAGGGGAUAGCGACUGUUUACUAAAAACUAAGGACUUUGCAAAAUUGUAAAAUGAUGUAUAAGGUCUGACGCCUGCCCAGUGUUGGAAUAAUAAUUUGAUAUGUGCAAGCAUUGAUAAGAACCUUCAAUAAACGGCAGUUGUAACUCUAACGAUUCUAAGGUAGCGAAAUUCCUAGUCAAUUAAUUGUUGACCCGCAUGAAUGGCAUAACGACUUUCCCACUGUCUCAAGGACGGACUCAGUGAAAUUAGAUUCUGCGUGAAGAUGCGCAGUGAUAAAUAUUAGACGGAAAGACCCCGUAAACCUUUACUAUAUCUUUGUAUUGUUAUGGUUUAUUUUUUGUGUAGAAUAAGUGGGAGCUGUUAUUAAACCUUAGCGCUAGCUAAUUGUUUAGGCGUCUUUGAAAUACCACUCUAAGAAUAAAAUCUAACUUAAUUGAAAAAAACAGUGCAAAGUUUUUAGUUUGGCUGGGGCGGCAAUCUCCUAAAAAGUAACGGAGAUCUACAAAGGUAAACUCAAUUUUUGAAGAAACGAAAUUUUAGAGUGUAAGGGCUAAAGUUUGCUUGACUGUAAGAAAAACAAUUCGAACAGGGACUAUUUAUGUCGGUCCUAGUGAUCCGGGAUUUUUGUAUGGAAAAGAUCUCGCUCAAGGAAUAAAAGGUACUUCGGGGAUAACAGGCUAAUGGUACUCAAGAGCUCCUAUCGACAGUACCGUUUGGCACCUCUAUGUCGACUCUUCGUAUCCUGGUGGCUGAAGAAGGUCCCAAUGGUUCGGCUGUUCGCCGAUUAAAACGGAACGUGAGUUGGGUUUAGAACGUUGUAAAACAGUUUGGUCCCUAUCUGUAUUUAUUGUAUGAAGAAAAAAAAGAUUUGCCUUUAGUACGAGAGGACCAAGGCAAAAUAACCUCUUGUUAUUCAGUUGUUCUGCCAAGAGCAAGCUGAUUAGCUACGUUAUUUUUAUAUAAUUGCUGAAAGCAUCAAUGCAAGAAAAUGACUUUGUAUCAAUUCUU
rnacentral:rRNA from 1 species